rnacentral:pre_miRNA from 1 species
GUAGAAUUAUAGACGUGUGUUCUGUUUAAAUUUAAACAGAACACACGUCUAUAAUUCUAC